rnacentral:tRNA from 1 species
GGCGCAUGUCGGCGAUGGUGUCGGCUGAGCCGCUGCUGGCGGCGCGCACGGUGGCGCUGGCCAAUUCGGCCUGGUACAACCCGGGCGGGCGCCU